GUAGGUGGCAAGCGUUGUCCGGAAUUAUUGGGCGUAAAGCGCGCGCAGGCGGUUCCUUAAGUCUGAUGUGAAAGCCCACGGCUCAACCGUGGAGGGUCAUUGGAAACUGGAGAACUUGAGUACAGAAGAGGAAAGCGGAAUUCCACGUGUAGCGGUGAAAUGCGUAGAGAUGUGGAGGAACACCAGUGGCGAAGGCGGCUUUCUGGUCUGUAACUGACGCUGAGGCGCGAAAGCGUGGGGAGCAAACAGGAUUAGAUACCCUGGUAGUCCACGCCGUAAACGAUGAGUGCUAAGUGUUAGGGGGGUUUUCCGCCCCCCUUAGUGCUGCAGCUAACGCAUUAAGCACUCCGCCUGGGAGUACGGCCGCAAGGCUG
rnacentral:rRNA from 1 species